UGCGUCGUCUUCGCCUCAGGUACAUACAGGCUGUAGCGCGUGCGUUACUUUUCUCACCUACUACUAGUCAUCAUUCACCGGAACUCUCGAAUCAUCCGCCAGCUGGCAGCUGCAGGAUGCCGGGAAAAUCGCGAAUUACCUCCGCAGAAAAUGUGAAAGAAAUUCAUACAUGCUUGGAAUGACAUAAGGAAGUUUUCUUUUUUUUGCGUAGGCUGCUUGUUUAAGCCCAUAACAACCAGAUGAACACAUCAAUCAAAGCUGAAGUCAUUCUCAGGCGACAGGUUCUCAACUCCUGCCUGUGUACGUUUGGAUCUUCAUAAGAUAACUAUACACAUGCCAUAAUCAAGGAAACAAACCACAAGAUAUUAUAAACAUGUGUUUGAUUCUCCAAUAACGUAAGGAAAAGCCACAUCCACAGGCUGUUGGAUUGAUAUUUGCAUUACUGUUUUACCAACUUUUCAAAAUCGGAGCUGGAACUCACCCGAGUCUGGAAUAAAUGAUGCCAAAACAGAGGAGCACAUUAAAGAUCCAGAGUCGCAGGGGUCUGCUCAUGGUGUCCAUUCAGUGAAGAU